AAAUUUCCACAAAUGUAUGAUCAUUGCUGCAGCUGCCGCCUCUCCAACAGCAACCCCCGAGGCCACUUUAGUGACAACAAAACGUUACUCUGAAACAACAGGCAAAGAUUUCUGGAUGCAACAAUAACAGAAUCCAUAAAUACGAUGGAUAUCACAAAUGCAACAAUAGAUCAGCAACUACCAAUAGUUAAGACGACUAGAGGGUCACUAAGACUUGUAAGAAUUCUAGAAGAUGCUUUGUUAAUUAAAUGUGGCAGUCAAUUAGACAACUUGUCAUUGUCUGUUCAAUUAACAAAGCCACUUCCAGAAUUCUUGGAUGUCUUGUUGAUCAACAGUCAUCUCAAUUAUUGGUUGUUCCUACUCAUAUUUGAACUCUAUUUUCAUGCCGAAUGAUUAAUUACAAAAUGAAGUGUUUGUAAAACUGAUUAUCUUCGACUUGUUAAUUAGUAUAAGUUUGUGGCCUUAUUCGGAUUUGUAAAAAAAAGCCUAACAACCUUGCUUGU
rnacentral:lncRNA from 1 species